rnacentral:rRNA from 1 species
CGGCGGACGGGUGAGUAACACGUGGAUAACCUACCUAUAAGACUGGGAUAACUUCGGGAAACCGGAGCUAAUACCGGAUAAUAUAUUGAACCGCAUGGUUCAAUAGUGAAAGACGGUUUUGCUGUCACUUAUAGAUGGAUCCGCGCCGCAUUAGCUAGUUGGUAAGGUAACGGCUUACCAAGGCAACGAUGCGUAGCCGACCUGAGAGGGUGAUCGGACACACUGGAACUGAGACACGGUCCAGACUCCUACGGGAGGCAGCAGUU